rnacentral:lncRNA from 1 species
UUACAGAAUAAGAAGACCAAAUGUGUACAAAUUUAAUAAAAUUUAGAACCUCUAAAAGAAACUAAAUCCUUUUGCAGUAUAUUGAAUUAGCUAAUAAACAAAACAUAAUCAAACCUACAAAGGAAAAAAAAUAAUAAUAAUAAAGAAAAAAAAAUAAAACGCAGCUCACACCCUUCCACUCAGAUAACACAAGCCUCAGUACUGCACCCAAGCAAUAAAUAGUUUGAGACUUCCCCAUCUGUAUCCAAUCAGCAGCUAGUCAUUAGUAUUAUAAAGGUGGCAUGUGGAAGAGCUCCUGCCAUUUUUGUCUGUGAGCAAGAUGGCAUGGAGAUGCCUAUAUUCCUCCCAGUACAGCUGUUGGACCAUCACUUGAUUUAUACUGCACAUCAUCAUGCCCAGAUGGGAUGUGUCCAUCUCUCAGGCUGCAUGAGGACACCAAGACCCUUCAGGACCUAUGCACUGCUCCACCUCUGCAGAGUCCUUGGUCCCUCUGAAGCAUGGGCUGCAAUUGAAGAACAGUCAGUGAGGUUGGAGUCCUGUUGUGGGAAACCGUGUCUUUAUCCAGUCUGGGGGAAAAUGAUCUAUCCUGAUGUUACAACAGUCA